ensembl:miRNA
GGGCUCCUCGCCCCCUCCCUUGGUCGCCGGCUGUUGGUCCUUUUGUCAGUCUGCGUCU